GAAGCUGGAAUCGCUAGUAAUCGCGAAUCAGAAUGUCGCGGUGAAUACGUUCCCGGGUCUUGUACACACCGCCCGUCACACCAUGGGAGUCAGCAACGCCCGAAGUCAGUGACCUAACCGAAAGGGAGGAGCUGCCGAAGGCGGGGCCGGUAACUGGGGUGAAGUCGUAACAAGGUACC
rnacentral:rRNA from 1 species